rnacentral:rRNA from 1 species
AGAGUUUGAUUCUGGCUCAGGAUGAACGCUAGCUACAGGCUUAACACAUGCAAGUCGAGGGGCAGCAUUGGAGUAGCAAUACUCAGAUGGCGACCGGCGCACGGGUGAGUAACACGUAUCCAACCUGCCGCUUACUCGGGGAUAGCCUUUCGAAAGAAAGAUUAAUACCCGAUGGUAUAAAGAGUUCGCAUGUUCUCUUUAUUAAAGAAUUUCGGUAAGCGAUGGGGAUGCGUUCCAUUAGAUAGUUGGCGGGGUAACGGCCCACCAAGUCUACGAUGGAUAGGGGUUCUGAGAGGAAGGUCCCCCACAUUGGAACUGAGACACGGUCCAAACUCCUACGGGAGGCAGCAGUGAGGAAUAUUGGUCAAUGGACGAGAGUCUGAACCAGCCAAGUAGCCGUAAAGGAUGACUGCCCUAUGGGUUGUAAACUUCUUUUAUAAGGGAAUAAAGUGAGGGACGUGUCCCUUUUUGUAUGUACCUUAUGAAUAAGGAUCGGCUAACUCCGUGCCAGCAGCUGC